CCCCCUCCUCCGUGCGUUAGUUCCGGUCGCAAAGGAGACACUGCUGCAGUUGCCACCACAUCAGGAUUUCUGGCUCUCUUCUCUUUGCCUUAAAUUCGGGUGUGUUUUAUGAAUAAUCAAAAGCAGCAGAAGCCAACGCUAUCAGGCCAGUGUUUUAAAAUCAGAAAAAGAGAUGAAAAAGAGAGGUUUGACCCUACUCAGUUUCAAGACUGUAUUAUUCAAGGCUUAACUGAAACUGGUACUGAUUUGGAAGCAGUAGCUAAGUUUCUUGAUGCUUCUGGAACAAAACUUGAUUACCGCCGAUAUGCAGAAACUCUCUUUGACAUUCUGGUGGCCGGUGGAAUGCUGGCCCCAGGUGGUACACUGGCAGAUGACAUGAUGCGUACAGAUGUCUGUAUGUUUGCAGCACAAGAAGACCUAGAGACCAUGCAAGCAUUUGCUCAGGUUUUUAACAAGUUAAUCAGGCGCUACAAAUACCUGGAGAAAGGUUUUGAAGAUGAAGUAAAAAAACUGCUGCUGUUCUUGAAGGGUUUUUCUGAGUCAGAGAGGAACAAACUGGCUAUGUUGACUGGUAUUCUUCUGGCUAAUGGGAUACUGAAUGCAUCCAUUCUUAACAGCCUUUACAAUGAGAAUCCGGUUAAAGAAGGGGGGUUUCAGCGGCUUUUGCUGUAAAGCUCUUCAAGUCAUGGAUAAAUGAAAAAGACAUCAAUGCGGUAGCUGCAAGCCUUUGGAAAGUCAGCAUGGACAACAGACUGAUGGAACUGUCUCCUGCCAAUAAGCAAAGCAUUGAACACGUCACAAAGUAUUUUACUGAGGCAGGCUUGAAAGAGCUUUCAGAGUAUGUUCGGAAUCGGCAAACUAUAGGUGCACGGAAGGAGCUCCAGAAAGAGCUUCAGGAACAGAUGUCCCGCGGGUAUCCGUUCAAGGAUAUAAUUUUAUAUGUCAAGGCGGAAAUGAAAAAAACAACAUCCCGGAACCGGUGGUCAUUGGAACCAUCUGGUCAAGUGUCAUGAGCACUGUGGAGUGGAACAAAAAAGAGGCGCUUGUAGCAGAGCCAGCCGUCAAGCACUUGACGCAAUACAGCCCUCUACUUGCUGCCUUUACUACUCAAGCUGAGGUCCUGAGUGAAGAGCCCAUUCUGAAGUGGUAUAAGGAUGCGCAUGUUGCAAAAGGGAAAAGCGUCUUCCUUGAGCAAAUGAAAAAGUUUGUAGAGUGGCUCAGAAAUGCCGAAGAGAAAUCUGGGUCCGAAGCUGAAGAGGGUGACUGAAUUUUGAAACUGCACCCUCAGUAAAGCAAACAGGAGUUGUAGAUACAAUGUCAUGUCUCAUGUGUCCUGGUUCUUACAACUUCCUACCUCCCUAUAUCAAGCAUGGAUAUAAGGGCUUUCAUGGCAGAUUUUAUUUGAACUAUUUCCAUGGUUACUGGAGAUGUUGGAUUUAGUUUCUGAAACCAUGUUCGAAGUAGCUACAGGAGCUAUAGAUUUGAAUCUAAUGUUGCAUUCGUCUUUCAGUUAUCUUCUACCUCCUGUAUUUUCUACUGUAAUAAUGUAAUUUAAGGCCUUCCACAAUGAACAGUUCACUUUAUUCCCUGGGUUUUCUAUAAACAGUUUUCAAGAUAUGAUUUGGUUAAAAAUAAUUUGUUAAAAAAAUUCUGUUUGCAAAUUAAACUUUAUAAGUAUCCAAAGUCUCAAAAGGCAAUGAUUUGUGUGAUAAUAUGGUCGGCCUAGAGCCCUCCUCAUCAAUGAAAAACUCAUCAGCAGUCAUUGGAUUCAUUCCUGUGAAUCCUGAGUAUUUGGGCCAUUACUUGCAUAUUAAC